rnacentral:rRNA from 1 species
UACGUCGGGUGCAAGCGUUAUCCGGAAUUAUUGGGCGUAAAGAGCUCGUAGGCGGUUUGUCGCGUCUGCUGUGAAAACCCGAGGCUCAACCUCGGGCCUGCAGUGGGUACGGGCAGACUAGAGUGCGGUAGGGGAGAUUGGAAUUCCUGGUGUAGCGGUGGAAUGCGCAGAUAUCAGGAGGAACACCGAUGGCGAAGGCAGAUCUCUGGGCCGUAACUGACGCUGAGGAGCGAAAGCGUGGGGAGCGAACAGG